AUACGGGGGGUGCGAGCGUUGUUCGGAAUUAUUGGGCGUAAAGCGCGUGUAGGCGGUUUGUUAAGUCUGAUGUGAAAGCCCCGGGCUCAACCUGGGAAGUGCAUUGGAUACUGGCAGACUUGAAUACGGGAGAGGGCAGUGGAAUUCCUGGUGUAGGAGUGAAAUCCGUAGAUAUUAGGAGGAACACCGGUGGCGAAAGCGGCCUCCUGGACCAUUUCUGACACUCAGACGCGAAAGCUAAGGUAGC
rnacentral:rRNA from 1 species